AAGAUUAAUACCUGAUGGUAUCUUAAGCACACAUGUAAUUAAGAUUAAAGAUUUAUCGGUGUACGAUGGGGAUGCGUUCCAUUGGGUAGUAGGCGGGGUAACGGCCCACCCAGCCAACGAUGGAUAGGGGUUCUGAGAGGAAGGUCCCCCACAUUGGAACUGAGACACGGUCCAAACUCCUACGGGAGGCAGCAGUGAGGAAUAUUGGUCAAUGGACGAGAGUCUGAACCAGCCAAGUAGCGUGAAGGAUGAAGGUCCUACGGAUUGUAAACUUCUUUUAUAAGGGAAUAAACCCUCCCACGUGUGGGAGCUUGUACGUACCUUAUGAAUAAGCAUCGGCUAACUCCGUGCCAGCAGCCGCGGUAAUACGGAGGAUGCGAGCGUUAUCCGGAUUUAUUGGGUUUAAAGGGAGCGCAGACGGGUCGUUAAGUCAGCUGUGAAAGUUUGGGACUCAACCUUAAAAUUGCAGUUGAUACUGGCGUCCUUGAGUGCGGUUGAGGUGUGCGGAAUUCGUGGUGUAGCGGUGAAAUGCUUAGAUAUCACGAAGAACUCCGAUUGCGAAGGCAGCACACUAAUCCGUAACUGACGUUCAUGCUCGAAAGUGUGGGUAUCAAACAGGAUUAGAUACCCUGGUAGUCCACACGGUAAACGAUGGAUACUCGCUGUUGGCGAUAUACGGUCAGCGGCUUAGCGAAAGCGUUAAGUAUCCCACCUGGGGAGUAC
rnacentral:rRNA from 1 species